GCUCCCUAUAAAUACUUCAGCGGCGCUUUCUGGACUCCCCUUAUCGCAUGAAGAUCGUGGGACCAGGACGCACAAUGGGGCGUGAAUUUGAUGCUGAAAGAGGCAUGAAGAUGUGGACCCUUAGAUUGUACCGCCCCUUCGGUACAUGAGUUCUGACCUGGGACCAGCUCACAGGGUUUCCUCUCCAUCCUGAUAGUUGAAGCACCAAUGUUACAGCAUGAUGUCUUUGCUGCGGUGACUGAUCUGUUCUUGAUCCCAGGCUUCAUGGCCUGAUCCACACUGAAGGUCUCAGCGACUGUGAUGGAUGAAACAGACGGGUGUUCAGAUUGAUCUCUACUGACGUAAAGAUUGACUCAGCUCAAGCUUCAGCAGACACUAAGAAUAAAUGAGCUGUUGCUGUCCUGUAGACAUUUGAUCUCUGCAGCCUCUCAGAUUGGUGUUGUGCAGGUCCAUCAGUGAACAGAUGACCUGGAUACCAGCCUUUAAGCUGCACUCACAAACUUGGGAUUUAAAUAAUUUGUGUACCUUACAGAUUUGACGCAUUGCAUUAAAGGUUGUGAAAUACUUGAAUGUAAUCUUGCACGUUUUUUAGGUUGGGAAUGCUCCAAUGUGAAUAAAAAGAUUCAAAAGUAAA